rnacentral:rRNA from 1 species
GUGUCAGCAGCCGCGGUAAUACGGGAGUGGCAAGCGUUAUCCGGAAUUAUUGGGCGUAAAGCGUCCGCAGGCGGUUUUACAAGUCUGUCGUUAAAACGUGGAGCUCAACUCCAUUUCGGCGAUGGAAACUGUAAGACUAGAGUGUGGUAGGGGCAGAGGGAAUUCCCGGUGUAGCGGUGAAAUGCGUAGAUAUCGGGAAGAACACCAGUGGCGAAGGCGCUCUGCUGGGCCAUAACUGACGCUCAUGGACGAAAGCCAGGGGAGCGAAAGGGAUUAGAUACCCCUGUAGUCCUGGCCGUAAACGAUGAACACUAGGUGUCGGGGGAAUCGACCCCCUCGGUGUCGUAGCCAACGCGUUAAGUGUUCCGCCUGGGGAGUACGCACGCAAGUGUGAAACUCAAAGGAAUUGACGGGG